UACGUAGGCGGCAAGCGUUACCCGGAUUUAUUGGGCGUAAAGAGUGCGUAGGCGGUUUGGAAAGUCACUAUUGAAAUUUCUCCGCUCAACGGAGAACCCGGUAGUGAUACUUUCAGACUGGAUGGUUAGAGGGGGUACCGGAACAGUUGGUGAAGCAGUGAAAUGCGUUGAUAUCAACUGGAACACCAAAGGCGAAGGCAGGUACCUGGCUAACCCAUGACGCUGUUGCACGAAAGCGUGGGGAGCAAAACGG
rnacentral:rRNA from 1 species